GGGUUGUGAGGUUAAGCGACUAAGCGUACACGGUGGAUGCCCUGGCAGUCAGAGGCGAUGAAGGACGUGCUAAUCUGCGAUAAGCGUCGGUAAGGUGAUAUGAACCGUUAUAACCGGCGAUUUCCGAAUGGGGAAACCCAGUGUGAUUCGUCACACUAUCAUUAACUGAAUCCAUAGGUUAAUGAGGCGAACCGGGGGAACUGAAACAUCUAAGUACCCCGAGGAAAAGAAAUCAACCGAGAUUCCCCCAGUAGCGGCGAGCGAACGGGGAGGAGCCCAGAGCCUGAAUCAGUGUGUGUGUUAGUGGAAGCGUCUGGAAAGGCGCGCGAUACAGGGUGACAGCCCCGUACACAAAAAUGCACAUAUUGUGAGCUCGAUGAGUAGGGCGGGACACGUGGUAUCCUGUCUGAAUAUGGGGGGACCAUCCUCCAAGGCUAAAUACUCCUGACUGACCGAUAGUGAACCAGUACCGUGAGGGAAAGGCGAAAAGAACCCCGGCGAGGGGAGUGAAAAAGAACCUGAAACCGUGUACGUACAAGCAGUGGGAGCCUCUUUUAUGGGGUGACUGCGUACCUUUUGUAUAAUGGGUCAGCGACUUAUAUUCUGUAGCAAGGUUAACCGAAUAGGGGAGCCGAAGGGAAACCGAGUCUUAACUGGGCGUUAAGUUGCAGGGUAUAGACCCGAAACCCGGUGAUCUAGCCAUGGGCAGGUUGAAGGUUGGGUAACACUAACUGGAGGACCGAACCGACUAAUGUUGAAAAAUUAGCGGAUGACUUGUGGCUGGGGGUGAAAGGCCAAUCAAACCGGGAGAUAGCUGGUUCUCCCCGAAAGCUAUUUAGGUAGCGCCUCGUGAAUUCAUCUCCGGGGGUAGAGCACUGUUUCGGCAAGGGGGUCAUCCCGACUUACCAACCCGAUGCAAACUGCGAAUACCGGAGAAUGUUAUCACGGGAGACACACGGCGGGUGCUAACGUCCGUCGUGAAGAGGGAAACAACCCAGACCGCCAGCUAAGGUCCCAAAGUCAUGGUUAAGUGGGAAACGAUGUGGGAAGGCCCAGACAGCCAGGAUGUUGGCUUAGAAGCAGCCAUCAUUUAAAGAAAGCGUAAUAGCUCACUGGUCGAGUCGGCCUGCGCGGAAGAUGUAACGGGGCUAAACCAUGCACCGAAGCUGCGGCAGCGACGCUUAUGCGUUGUUGGGUAGGGGAGCGUUCUGUAAGCCUGUGAAGGUGUGCUGUGAGGCAUGCUGGAGGUAUCAGAAGUGCGAAUGCUGACAUAAGUAACGAUAAAGCGGGUGAAAAGCCCGCUCGCCGGAAGACCAAGGGUUCCUGUCCAACGUUAAUCGGGGCAGGGUGAGUCGACCCCUAAGGCGAGGCCGAAAGGCGUAGUCGAUGGGAAACAGGUUAAUAUUCCUGUACUUGGUGUUACUGCGAAGGGGGGACGGAGAAGGCUAUGUUGGCCGGGCGACGGUUGUCCCGGUUUAAGCGUGUAGGCUGGUUUUCCAGGCAAAUCCGGAAAAUCAAGGCUGAGGCGUGAUGACGAGGCACUACGGUGCUGAAGCAACAAAUGCCCUGCUUCCAGGAAAAGCCUCUAAGCAUCAGGUAACAUCAAAUCGUACCCCAAACCGACACAGGUGGUCAGGUAGAGAAUACCAAGGCGCUUGAGAGAACUCGGGUGAAGGAACUAGGCAAAAUGGUGCCGUAACUUCGGGAGAAGGCACGCUGAUAUGUAGGUGAAGCGACUUGCUCGUGGAGCUGAAAUCAGUCGAAGAUACCAGCUGGCUGCAACUGUUUAUUAAAAACACAGCACUGUGCAAACACGAAAGUGGACGUAUACGGUGUGACGCCUGCCCGGUGCCGGAAGGUUAAUUGAUGGGGUUAGCGCAAGCGAAGCUCUUGAUCGAAGCCCCGGUAAACGGCGGCCGUAACUAUAACGGUCCUAAGGUAGCGAAAUUCCUUGUCGGGUAAGUUCCGACCUGCACGAAUGGCGUAAUGAUGGCCAGGCUGUCUCCACCCGAGACUCAGUGAAAUUGAACUCGCUGUGAAGAUGCAGUGUACCCGCGGCAAGACGGAAAGACCCCGUGAACCUUUACUAUAGCUUGACACUGAACAUUGAGCCUUGAUGUGUAGGAUAGGUGGGAGGCUUUGAAGUGUGGACGCCAGUCUGCAUGGAGCCGACCUUGAAAUACCACCCUUUAAUGUUUGAUGUUCUAACGUUGACCCGUAAUCCGGGUUGCGGACAGUGUCUGGUGGGUAGUUUGACUGGGGCGGUCUCCUCCUAAAGAGUAACGGAGGAGCACGAAGGUUGGCUAAUCCUGGUCGGACAUCAGGAGGUUAGUGCAAUGGCAUAAGCCAGCUUGACUGCGAGCGUGACGGCGCGAGCAGGUGCGAAAGCAGGUCAUAGUGAUCCGGUGGUUCUGAAUGGAAGGGCCAUCGCUCAACGGAUAAAAGGUACUCCGGGGAUAACAGGCUGAUACCGCCCAAGAGUUCAUAUCGACGGCGGUGUUUGGCACCUCGAUGUCGGCUCAUCACAUCCUGGGGCUGAAGUAGGUCCCAAGGGUAUGGCUGUUCGCCAUUUAAAGUGGUACGCGAGCUGGGUUUAGAACGUCGUGAGACAGUUCGGUCCCUAUCUGCCGUGGGCGCUGGAGAACUGAGGGGGGCUGCUCCUAGUACGAGAGGACCGGAGUGGACGCAUCACUGGUGUUCGGGUUGUCAUGCCAAUGGCACUGCCCGGUAGCUAAAUGCGGAAGAGAUAAGUGCUGAAAGCAUCUAAGCACGAAACUUGCCCCGAGAUGAGUUCUCCCUGACUCCUUGAGAGUCCUGAAGGAACGUUGAAGACGACGACGUUGAUAGGCCGGGUGUGUAAGCGCAGCGAUGCGUUGAGCUAACCGGUACUAAUGAACCGUGAGGCUUAACCUUACAACGCCGAAG
rnacentral:rRNA from 1 species